UCAGUAUGAAGCUCCAAAUGCAACGAUGCUUCAACUUCGCCGCUCCUCCCACCUGUAUCGUCUUCCCCGAUAUUGUUUUCCAAUUAAAACAAACCAAAUAUAUGAAUCACUUCGCAUCAUAAAUAAGAAUACAUCUAAGAACUCAUCUCAAGAACGGAACCGAGACGAACAACGCGAAGAAUCGUGGAUCCGAAAUCACCUCCCGAAAUCGCAUUACACGUUCAACCUUUGAACUUGAACCAACUCCAUACGUGUAGCAACAAAAUUAACCAAGUGACACCAUGAAUCGAGUAUUGAAACGAGAAGGUAGCAGGGAACUCACCAGAUUGAGAUCGUGACACAGUGGCAAAACAGAGUACUAUGAACCUGAUGCAGAGGAUCGAGCUUAGUGGAGAGGAUUGAGAACUUAUGCAAAGCUUGAGCUUUAUGAACUUGGUGAAGAAUGAGCUCGAGAUUCUGCAGAGAACUUGAGAUUGUACAUAGCUAUGAACUAAAUGUAGAGAAUUGAGAAGAAAAUGAGAUUCUGGACUUGGUGCAGAAUGAGCUAGCCCGCCCGAGAUAUUGAGCUUGGUCUGGUAUUGAUGAACUGUUGUUGCUACUAGAGAACAAGUUAUUUCACAUGAGCUUCCUUCCACUGCAGAGCAAAAUGAUGAGUUCAUUCUUGGUUAAGGUACUAAAGAAACAAGUCCUCAUCAUCCUUAUGUCCUUGACUUCAGAGCAUGCGACAAGACAGAUUCUGCAUCAAGAAAUUCGGGGAGCUCUGUUACUGUGGGUUUCACCUUUGAGCUAGCUUCACUUCACUUUUUGAGCAGUGCAUAAUAUUUACAUUUGUUGCAAUAUGCGAAUGUCUAUUCAAAGCCUUUAUUGCCACACUUAAGACAAACAGAUACUUGAGGUAACUAAAUUAUCCCCAUUGCCACUUUCGCUUGAGAACUUUCAUCUGCAAUUUCAUUUUCAGUACUGAUCUCUGAAGCGGCAUUAAUCUCCAUUGAGUUUGAAGGUUGUUAAUCAUUUUGAUGAACAAUAUGGUGUUGAAUCUCAUUCUGAACUAUUCUUUCUGACAUUUCUGUCUAUUUAACAUCUAUUUGCAUAGAUAAUUAAGUAUCAAUAGGAGAUUUCGAUGGUGCUGUUACUAUUGCAUAAGAAUCAGAACAUCAAUCUUUGAUGAAAGUAUUAAUAUCAGAACCUGCAGGAGCAUUAAACUCUAUUGAGAUUGAGUGUAGUUGAUCAUUUGUUCUCACAACACAAUGUUGAACCUCAUGAUGUUCUUUUCCUUUUAUUUCCAACUGGGAGUCAAUUUGAAUUGGAGGUGUAUUGGAAUCAAUGAUUGAAACGCAUGAGAAUGGCAAUGUGAAUGUUAUUUUAUGGAAAAUUGAUGGAAUGUUAAUUGUAUUCCAUGUGUAUGGAAAACUAUUGAAUUGUUAAUGUGUAUUAGAUGUUAUAAAAUUUGGAUGUAGAUGGAUUGUAUAUUAACCUGUAAAUGUGAUUUUGAAUGGUUUAUGGAAUCUUGAUUUUUUA